UACAGAGGGUGCAAGCGUUGUUCGGAUUCAUUGGGCGUAAAGGGUGCGUAGGCGGCGCGGUAAGUCGGGUGUGAAAUCUCGGAGCUUAACUCCGAAACUGCAUUCGAUACUGCCGUGCUUGAGGACUGGAGAGGAGACUGGAAUUUACGGUGUAGCGGUGAAAUGCGUAGAUAUCGUAAGGAAGACCAGUGGCGAAGGCGGGUCUCUGGACAGUUCCUGACGUGAGGCACGAAGGUCAGGGGAGCAAACGGG
rnacentral:rRNA from 1 species